GGAAGUAAAAGUCGUAAUAAGGUUUCCGUAGGUGAACCUGCGGAAGGAUCAUUAUUGUAUAACCGAGGUGCGAGGGCUGUCGCUGACCCGAAAGGUCGUGCACGCCCGAGUGCCCUCACACACAUCCAUUUCACCCCUAUGUGCACCACCGCGUGGGUCCCCCUUUGGCUUGUUCGGAGGGGGGCUUACGUUUUCACACAAACUUUGUAUGCAGUGUAGAAUGUAUUUUUUGUUUUUGCGAUCACGCAAUCAAUACAACUUUCAACAACGGAUCUCUUGGCUCUC
rnacentral:misc_RNA from 1 species